rnacentral:piRNA from 1 species
UAAAGGUAACACAGAAGCCAGAUGGUUCUAGC